GCUUGUCUUCUGAUGGUUUCCAACAUAUUAAUCAAAGGCAAUUCUCUAGCCUUUUUGAUGGUCCGGUUGAAGCUUUCUGAAAGGUUGUUGCAAACAUUAGCCGACCUUCCUGUUUUUGAGAAGAAAGCUCGACACCAAUGUUCUGGUUCUGCAGCCAACAAUGCUUCAUACGCCUCUCUGUCAUAUAAAAGCAGCUCGUCCAUGUGCAUUUUAUACUCUCCUUUAGUGUAACUAUAUGCCACUUUCUAGAAGAAAGGCUUAUAGUCAAGAUCCCCAAAUUUUUUCUUCCAAUUUCCAUACACAUGCCUUGCACAUACCCUAUGCUCAGCAUUUGGGAGAACAGUAUCAAGAGCAAUUUGUAAACCCUGCAAACAAAUGUUUGUAUUAGUGAAUAAAUAUACUGGUUAAUUUUUAAUAUGUUUGUAUAACCUGUCUUAGAAUUGAUAGUAAUUUUUAAUAAGAAUUUGGAGUAAUAUUCUUAAAGUUUUUUAGUUUUUUUUUGUUAAGUUUCCAGAAUAUUUUAGAAACUAUGUACUUUUUUGUCAAUUUUUUAGAAACUAUAUUCAAAUUGUAAUCAAACAUCUAAAGAAUAUUAGAUUUUCAAUCAAAAAGGGAAAAUAUAAGUGAUUAAUCAAUUAGGUAGUAGAAGGUUCUGAGUUUAAAUAAGAUUAUGGGCUUUAUAUAAAUUUAAUUUAAUAAAUAAGUUUUUUGCAAUUUUUCUUCCCUAUCUUAUUUAAAUUAAUAAGAAUUAUCAUUCCAAUUUAUUUAAAUUGUAUGUGUUGAUUAAAAUAUAAAUUUUUAUCAUUGUUUAAAAUAAUACAUAAUAAUUACCAUUGUAACAUAAGUGUUAUACAAAGUAAACCCAUAUAAUAAAUGAAAAUGUAACUAUAUUAUGUAUCAUCAAUUUUAUAAAAGAGCCAUUUUACAUUAUUUUUUUUAACUCAAAGACAUUAAACGAAGUAUGUUCGUAAUAUCAAUUUUUUUAAAUAUAGUGUUAUUGAUUUUUGGGUGAUUAAAUGUAUCACAUAGUUAGAUUAUAAUUAAGGUGUUUUGCAUAUAAAUUAGAACUAUAAUAACUCACAAAAGAAAUAUGGAAAAUAUUACUUAUCAUAAAUAUAGAGAAUAUUUUGUUGUUUAAUUUAAAUAUAUAAUAUCUAUAUUAAAAUUAAAUGUCAGUGGCAUAGCAUUGUAAAUAUGAUAAAAAACUAAUGUUAGAAUCUUAGGAGAGAUUCUGCUUUAAUAGUAUAGAUAUAAAGAAAUUUUAUGUUAUUUAAAACCCCAAAAACUUAAUGAUUUAUAAUUAAAAACCAUUUAAUAAUAAUUAAUAAUAAAAUUAUUAUCUAAAUAAUAAUAAAUUAUACUUAUGAAAAUUCCAGUUAUAAUAAUUUAAAUAUGAAGAACGGUAUAUGUUAAGGUUAUUUUAAAAAGUACGAGUUAUUUGUUUUCAUUUAAAACUUCUACAGUCUAAAUAAUAGGGAUGUAGCAUUUUGGACUAAAACAAAUAUAAAAAGGAAGUUUUCAUUUUUUUUGCUGUACCUUUGAAAAAGAAAGUUAUAUUCUGAUUGGUAAAAUUUUGCUAUAACUUUAAAUUUUAAAAAUAAAGCUAUAUCAUGAUUGGUUAGAAUUAGUGUUUUAAAAAUAAAUAAAUCUAAAGUUCUAAGUUAAAGCCCAACCAAUCACCCUCAAUAUAAAUCUUUUAACUUAUCUAUGUCAUAUUAAUAUUAUAAACAUUAAUGAAUAUCAAUAAUAUACACAAAAUUUUAAUUUAUGUAACAAUAUAAGUUGCAUUUUGUCUCAUUCUCCCCCACAAUUCACGUUACUCUUCUUUUUUUUUGAACAAAUUCUUCUUCACCAUCAUAAUUAUUUACAAACUUACCAUGUAUAUAAAAUAAUUUAUUAGACAUUUUCAUAAAAUUUUGAUCCACAAAAAACAAAAUAAAACAUUUGUAUAGAUGCACAGAUCAUAUUCUAAAAAUGGUGGUAAUACAAUUGACGGUUUAUAAGAUAAAAUAAAAUUCUUAAAAAAUAUAAACUAUAAAAUUAUUAUGCUUAUAAAUGUUAUUAAAUAAUUAUUUAACACAUGUAAAAUUUUAAAAUACAUAUUAUCACUUAGAAAAAAUAAAUAUUUAUUUAUAAAAAUAAAAGCAAACAUCCGCAAGGUCGUGGUUUAAAUAUACACAAAUUUAAACUCAUUUAUAAUUUCUUAUCAGUUACAUCAAAUUUAUAUUUUUAUAUUAUUUUCUUAAAAAUUUAAAUCUUAAUUUGUAUAUGUUACAAAUUUUAUAGAAGUUUAACAAUCAUUUUAUUUUCUUACAAAUAUUAUAGCUAAUGUUUCAUUUAUAAUUAGCAUGCUAAUUCACAAUUGUCUCGUAAUUUUUAUUGAAAAAAAUUUGUUCGCUAUAUAUCUUAGACAUGGAUCUUAUUAUAUAAAUGUUAGAUUUGUUUAUAUAAUACAUAAUAUCGGUUAUACAUUUUACGCUAAAAUGCUAAUAUAUAAAUUAAGUACAAAUAUAACAUUUACAUUUACAAAUAUGACUACAUUAACAAAUCUAUCUUAUUAAAGUAGAAGUAUUUUAAGCUUUUGUUUGGCAACAUAGAUAAAAAAUAAAAAUAAUUAACCAUGUUGUUUGGAAACAUUGAUAGUAGUAUAUUAAAAAAAAAAAUAAUGGGCUUAUCUUAUAAAAAAAUUGGAAGUCUGUUAUGUUAUAUUAAAAAGUAAUGAGCUUAUGUUACUUGAUAUACAUAGUUCAAAUUAAAAUAAUAAUUUAAAAUUUUUUUAUAUCAAAAAUUUAUUCAAAAAUAUACAUAUAUUCAAAAAUUGAUUUUUACUAAAAUAUUUUCAAAUCACCAUUAUAAUUGUUUUUUAAAUAUAUAUAAUAAAAAUACAAUACAAAGCUUAAUUUCAAACACCAACUUAAAGUAUGAUUUUUAUAUUUCACAUAAAAUUUUAAAAAUAUAAUAUAUGUGAUUACUUAUAUGAUGGUACAUAUAAAAUACUAUUAAUUAUGUGGUUACUUGUAUGAUGGUAUUUAUAAAAUACGAUUAAUUAUAUGAUGACACAUAUAUGAUAUAUAAUAGUGACUAAGGGUGGGCGUUCGGGUACCCAUUCGGGUUUGGGACGUGUCUGUUUGGGUUUUGGGUUUUGGGAUCAAAUAUUUCAGCCCCAUUCGGAUAUUUCUAAAUUUUGGCCUGGGUUCGGUUCAGAUCUUUGCAGGUUCGAUUUGGAAUAGAAUAACCCAUUUAAACUAUUUUAAUUUUUUUAAAUUCAUUAUAUGCUCUAAAUUUUCCGAAAUCCUAAAAAAAUAAUAAUAUAUUACAUAUAAAUUUGAAUAACAUAUGUUAAACUUAACAUAUAAAUUGGUUAGGUUUAAAUAUUUGGACAGAGAAUCAAUAAUUAUUUUAAGUUUUUUGGUGUUUUGAGUAUACAUUAACUAUUUUAUAUAUUUAUUUUUGACUAUUUGUAUAUAUUUUCAAGUAUUUAAACCAACUUCGAUAAUAAACUAGAGUUGGUGUGGUCCCUGAGAUUGUCCAAGAUCUCGUGCCCUGCUUCCUCUCACAUCAAAUACUCGAUUUGUGAAAGGACAUGUGUAAAUACCAACUCCCCUAGGGAUCGAUGGCUGUCUUCGGACUGGUGGACGACCUUGACCUCGUCCUGGUGGUCGGCCACGUCGAGGUCCCGUAGCUGAAGCAGGUGGUGCACUAGAUGAUGUUGGAAACGUAGAGGUCGCACCAGAGGUCGCACCAGAUGCAGUAGAUGAUGCAGAUUGGGAUUGAGGCACUGAAAUGGAAGCUUGAGACUUAGUUUUUCUUUGUCUUUUAGGUGGAGGAGAUGGGUAGCUUUCACCAUCAACCUUAAAUGUUUGAGAAAAAAAACGUAAGAUAACAUAACAAUUCUAAGUAGUUAAGGGAAAUAGUUACACUCACAGGUAUCUUCUGAGGUCUUCCACGUUUUCGUUUUGGACCUUCAACCACAAAAGAUUGAUUCUUACAAGUCCCUUUGUUAUGUCCAACCUGUUUGCAAUUACUACAAGUGAUAGUCCUCCUACCACGAGUUGUUCUAUUGGGCUUUGAUGGGGACUCAUGAGCUGGUGCAAUUCUCUUUUUCUUAGGACGUCCUGGCAUCUUUCUAAAUCCAGGAACACCAAUGGAUCCCUUACCAGUUUUAUUCCAAUAGAGCUCCCCAUUGACUGGUUUGAUGUUGUCCCUAUAUGUGUCUAUCCACACUGGAGUUUUAUAGUAGUUAACAACAUACCUGCAAAUAUGGAAAACCAAACACAAUUCAGAUUUUCUAGUAACUGACAACAUACAUCAAAGUUUUAUAGUACUUAACAUCAUACGCUAAUUUAUCAGAGUUUUGAAAGCAAAUUUGACUUACUCUUCUGGUUUUCGACGAAUGUCAUUGAUGACACAAAUUGCAUGGUUGCAAGGUAUACCAACCAGGUCCCAACGCCCACAAGCACACGUUCCCAUUCUCAGGCUGACCUCAUGACUUAAAUCAUGCACUAAAACCUCAUACAAGUUAUCACUACUUACCAUGAUUUGGCAGUCUUUGCUGUUUUUUCUAUUCACCUCCAACACAUCUGCUAUUCUUUGCGGGAAUUGCAUUAUACACUUGGCUGCCCUCUUAAACCUACGAGAAAUACGCAUCAUGGCUUGUCUUCUGAUGGUUUCCAACAUAUUAAUCAAAGGCAAUUCUCUAGCCUUUUUGAUGGUCCGGUUGAAGCUUUCUGAAAGGUUGUUGCAAACAUUAGCCGACCUUCCUGUUUUUGAGAAGAAAGCUCGACACCAAUGUUCUGGUUCUGCAGCCAACAAUGCUUCAUACGCCUCUCUGUCAUAUAAAAGCAGCUCGUCCAUGUGCAGUUUAUA
rnacentral:lncRNA from 1 species